rnacentral:rRNA from 1 species
UGGGGAAUCUUGCGCAAUGGGCGAAAGCCUGACGCAGCGACGCCGCGUGGGUGACGAAGGCCUUCGGGUUGUAAAGCCCUGUGGGGUAGAACGAACUGGCAUCGGGCUAAUAUCUCGGUGUCUUGACGGUACUGCCUUAGCAAGCAUCGGCUAACUCUGUGCCAGCAGCCGCGGUAAGACAGAGGAUGCGAACGUUGCUCGGAUUUACUGGGCGUAAAGCGCGUGUAGGCGGUCUCGUUAGUCGGGUGUGAAAGCCCCGGGCUCAACCCGGGAAGUGCACCCGAUACUGCGAGACUGGGGUACUGAAGAGGAGAGCGGAAUUCCCGGUGUAGAGGUGAAAUUCGUAGAUAUCGGGAGGAACACCAGUGGCGAAGGCGGCUCUCUGGGCAGAUACCGACGCUGAGACGCGAAAGCGUGGGGAGCAAACA